ACUCCUACGGGAGGCAGCAGUGGGGAAUAUUGCACAAUGGGCGCAAGCCUGAUGCAGCCAUGCCGCGUGUAUGAAGAAGGCCUUCGGGUUGUAAAGUACUUUCAGCAGUGAGGAAGGUGGAGUCGUUAAUAGCGGCCUCAUUUGACGUUAGCUGCAGAAGAAGCACCGGCUAACUCCGUGCCAGCAGCCGCGGUAAUACGGAGGGAGCAAACGUUGUCCGGAUUUAUUGGGCGUAAAGGGCUCGUAGGCGGUUCAACAAGUCGGUCGUGAAAGCCCGGGGCUCAACCCCGGGAUGCCGGUCGAAACUGUUGUGACUUGAGUUCGGUAGAGGUGAGUGGAAUUCUCAGUGUAGCGGUGGAAUGCGCAGAUAUUGAGAGGAACACCAUUAGCGAAGGCGGCUCACUGGGCCGAUACUGACGCUGAGGAGCGAAAGCGUGGGGAGCAAACAGGAUUAGAUACCCUGUAGGCUCUG
rnacentral:rRNA from 1 species